AGUAAAGUCUAGAGGUGGAAGAAGAAGAGGAAUAAAAAGAAGGAGAAGGAGAAGAGACUAAAGAGAAGAAGUCAUCACUCCAUGGAGUAUUUUUUUCCAUGAAUGAUAAUUGUGCCACGGAUGAGAAGAAAGAGUCUACCCAAAGGUUCAGGCCAGAAUGUAGGAAGCGAGUGAUAUGUUUUUAUAUUCUUAUGAGAAGUUCUACGGUGGUUACAUGGGAGGAUCAAUUACCGAAGUACAAAGAAAAUAAAGUUGGUAAGAAUGUGGCUCUUUUAGAUCAACAAUUUUGAGAGUUUUCCCUUAUAAAGAUCCAUUAGACAUUUGAUCAUUCAAACCAAAUACAACUAACAUUAUAGUUGAA